CCUACGGGAGGCAGCAGUGGGGAAUAUUGCACAAUGGGGGGAACCUUGAUGCAGCAACGCCGCGUGGGUGAAGAAGUACUCCGGUAUGUAAAGCCCUAUCAGCAGGGAAGAAAAUGACGGUACCUGACCAAGAAGCCCCGGCUAACUACGUGCCAGCAGCCGCGGUAAUACGUAGGGGGCAAGCGUUAUCCGGAUUUACUGGGUGUAAAGGGAGCGUAGACGGCAAGGCAAGUCUGGAGUGAAAGGCCGGGGCUUAACCACGGGACUGCUUUGGAAACUGUGUAGCUGGAGUGCAGGAGGGGUAAGUGGAAUUCCUAGUGUAGCGGUGAAAUGCGUAGAUAUUAGGAGGAACACCGGUGGCGAAGGCGGCUUACUGGACUGUAACUGACGUUGAGGCUCGAAGGCGUGGGGAGCAAACAGGAUUAGAUACCCGAGUAGUC
rnacentral:rRNA from 1 species